rnacentral:rRNA from 1 species
UUAAGUUGAAGAGGUUGAUCAUGGCUCAGAUUGAACGCUGGCGGCAGGCCUAACACAUGCAAGUCGAACGGUAACAGGAAGCAGCUUGCUGCUUCGCUGACGAGUGGCGGACGGGUGAGUAAUGUCUGGGAAACUGCCUGAUGGAGGGGGAUAACUACUGGAAACGGUAGCUAAUACCGCAUAACGUCGCAAGACCAAAGAGGGGGACCUUAGGGCCUCUUGCCAUCGGAUGUGCCCAGAUGGGAUUAGCUAGUAGGUGGGGUAACGGCUCACCUAGGCGACGAUCCCUAGCUGGUCUGAGAGGAUGACCAGCCACACUGGAACUGAGACACGGUCCAGACUCCUACGGGAGGCAGCAGUGGGGAAUAUUGCACAAUGGGCGCAAGCCUGAUGCAGCCAUGCCGCGUGUAUGAAGAAGGCCUUCGGGUUGUAAAGUACUUUCAGCGGGGAGGAAGGGAGUAAAGUUAAUACCUUUGCUCAUUGACGUUACCCGCAGAAGAAGCACCGGCUAACUCCGUGCCAGCAGCCGCGGUAAUACGGAGGGUGCAAGCGUUAAUCGGAAUGACUGGGCGUAAAGCGCACGCAGGCGGUUGGUUAAGUCAGAUGUGAAAUCACCGGGCUCAACCUGGGAACUGCAUCUGAUACUGGCA